GAGAACAGACUGCCUGAGUUCAAAUCCUAACUCUGCCAUUUCCCAGCUGUGUGGCUUUGGGCAAGUUAUUUAACCUCUCUAUGCCUCAACUUCUUCAUGUAAAAUGGCAGUAAUAAUAAUACGAAUGCCACAGAGCUGUGGAUGAAAUGAGCCCAUUCCGGUCUGGCUUCUUUAACCAGGAAGAUGUGAGCUGAGAGCUGUGGAGUAGAUGUCUUCACCAGAUGAGUACACAGAGAAGUAGAGAAUGUGUAUCUGCAGAGUAGGAUGAAGCAGAGACAAGUCUUGUGAAUAAGGUAUUCAGGAAGCACAGCUGUCUUUUGUUCCUGAAGCCGUAUCAGGAUUCAGCAGGAAAGAGCACCAAGAUCACUUGGCAAUGUUUAUCCUGAUCAAGCACGGGCACUGAUGGCAGAUGCAGGACAAAGGACAGAACUCUUAAGUCAUCCCUGUGCUCACCUGAGACAAAUGCAUGUCUGAUUGCUUCCACUGAUGUAAAAAUGCAGAUUUGCUGAGUUAGACGAAGAUGAUGGCAGAGAGCAGUCUUCAGCCUGAGCCCCAUUCCUAGGCAUUUCAGCUGCUCCUAUUUCUUUCUUUUUGGACUCUUCUGGAAAAACAGAGAAAUCAAACAGGAAGCUGCUGCUGGGGAGUUCUGUGUUGGAUAGGAUAGUGUGGCCAGGCUCACUGUUCUACUACCUCAAACCCCAAGGUUUCAGCAUGACUCAGGGGGUGCAAACUCCAAAAGGUCUAACUUGGAAUGUGACUUAGGAACUCUGGCCAGUCACCCUUGCUCAGAUCUGAAACUGGGAAAAUUUCAAAACCCAAAACCUUGCAUAAUCAGAAAGAAUAAAUCCCUAUAAGGAAGAGAAACACAAUGGAAAAUUCCACUGGAGAUAUCUGAAAUUGCCUGACUCUUUGUGUCAGCAAUUGGGAGGUCAGAUGGGGUCAGAUGGCCACAAAGAGUACACAGUUGGACAAGAUCUAUCCUUCUAGGAAAUGAAUUCCUGGAGGGUACUUCUGGUCAUUAAAAGUUGCUUGAAAACUGUAGAAACUAA